rnacentral:rRNA from 1 species
GAUGAACGCUAGCGGCAGGCUUAAUACAUGCAAGUCGUGGGGCAGCAGGACUGUAGCAAUACCGUUGCUGGCGACCGGCAAACGGGUUCGGCACACGUACGCAACUUACCCUGAACUGGGGGAUAGCCCGGGGAAACCCGGAUUAAUACCCCGUAAUAUAAUGGUGUGGCAUCACUUUAUUAUUAAAGCUACGGCGGUUCGGGAUGGGCGUGCGGCUGUUUAGGUCGUUGGUUGAGGUAACGGCUAACCAGGCCCACGAUCAGUAACUGGUGUGAGAGAACGACCAUUCACAGAGAGACUGAGACACGGGCCCGACACCGACGGGAGGCGGCAGUAAGGAAGGGGGGGAAAUGGAGGGAACACUGACCCAGCCAUGCCGCGUGGAGGAUGAAGGCCCUCUGGGGUGAAAACUUCUUUUAUAGGGGACGAAACCUGUGUAUGCUAACGCAGUGAACGGUACCCUAGGAAGAAGCACGGGCGAACUCCGU